AGCCCUGGGGGCACAGUAGGAGACUGAACCGACGGUCGUUCGCACGAAGCGUAGAACGCUGUUUUUUUUGUGGUGCUCCAAGGCCGAGGCCCCGUACCCACAUGAUGUUCCGUACUCGAGAGAUCAAGCGACCCGUCGUGUUUCGUCGGCCGGAACGCCGUUUCACGGGCGAAUGGGGCGCGAGGCACGGCGUGCGCUGUUUUGCCCACCUCGCACCGCAGACCCUUUCGGGGCAGCGGCAGAGGAUGGGAAUGGAACGAUGGUAACUGAUAGAAUGCCCUUGUGAUAGGUAGGCAACACAGGAAAACCGACGUCGGACGAGCACUUGCUCGCGCUAACAA
rnacentral:misc_RNA from 1 species